rnacentral:rRNA from 1 species
CCUACGGGAGGCAGCAGUGGGGAAUCUUGGACAAUGGGCGCAAGCCUGAUCCAGCCAUGCCGCGUGAGUGAAGAAGGCCUUAGGGUUGUAAAACUCUUUCGCCGGUGAAGAUAAUGACGGUAACCAGAGAAGAAGCCCCGGCUAACUUCGUGCCAGCAGCCGCGGUAAU